rnacentral:lncRNA from 1 species
GAUUUAGAGCUGAAUUAAUCACCGUAGAAUAAUUUGAAAACUUUUUGGAUAGUUUUUCAAAAAAAAAAAAAAAAGCACGUGCAAAUCCACAAUGCAAUUAGUGGCCUUCUUUCAACCAAAAUAAUAAUAAUAAUAAUAAUAAUAAUCACCUCCUUAAUUUAGCCGCUUACUUCAUUUGAGAAAUGGGGGACUCCAAAAAAAAGAAGCAAUUGCACAGGUACUUGGGGAACGCAAUGGGGAGGGGCGGGGUUUACGCCCCUGUUCGCGACUUAAAACUAGUAGAGAUGUCCAUACGCACCUCAUGCCUCAUGCAGGACAAGUUUCUUUAUCCCAUC